rnacentral:sRNA from 12 species
GAAGCGGGAAGCCGGCGUCAGCGGAUCGCUGGAUAAGACCGGCACCGCCGAUCCGUGAGGAUCGGCUGCU